AGUGAACGCUGGCGGCAGGCCUAACACAUGCAAGUCGAGCGGCAGCGCGUCCGACCACCCUCGGGUGGUCGGAUGGCGGCGAGCGGCGGACGGGUGAGGAAUGCAUCGGAAUCUGCCUCGUUGUGGGGGAUAACGUAGGGAAACUUACGCUAAUACCGCAUACGACCUACGGGUGAAAGUGGGGGACCUUCGGGCCUCACGCGAUGAGAUGAGCCGAUGCCGGAUUAGCUAGUUGGCGGGGUAAAGGCCCACCAAGGCGACGAUCCGUAGCUCGGUCUGAGAGGAUGAUCAGCCACACUGGAACUGAGACGCGGUCCAGACUCCUACGGGAGCAGCAGUGGGGAAUCUUAGACAAUGGGCGCAAGCCUGAUCUAGCCAUGCCGCGUGACGAUGAAGGCCUUA
rnacentral:rRNA from 1 species